rnacentral:rRNA from 1 species
UACGUAGGGGGCAAGCGUUGUCCGGAUUAUUGGGCGUAAAGAGCGUGUAGGCGGUUUGGUAGGUCCGCUGUGAAAACUCGAGGCUCAACCUCGAGACGCCGGUGGAAACCAUCAGGCUAGAGUCCGGAAGAGGAGAGUGGAAUUCCUGGUGUAGCGGUGAAAUGCGCAGAUAUCAGGAAGAACACCAGUGGCGAAGGCGGCUUUCUGGACGAUACUGACGCUGAGGCGCGAAAGCGUGGGGAGCAAACAGG